AACGAACGCUGGCGGCAUGCCUAACACAUGCAAGUCGAACGAUACCUUCGGGUCUAGUGGCGCACGGGUGCGUAACGCGUGGGAACCUGCGCUUAGGUUCGGAAUAACUCCCCGAAAGGGGUGCUAAUACCGGAUAAUGUCUUCGGACCAAGGCUUUCUCGCCUUUGGAUGGGCCCGCGUUGGAUUAGCUCGUUGGUAGGGUAAAAGCCUACCAAGGCGACGAGCCAUAGCUGGUCUGCGAGGAGGCCCAGCCGCACUGGGACUGAGACAAGGCCCCGACGCGUGGCAGAAGCAGGGGAGAGUGAUAUUUGGCAGCGGGCGAGAGGCAGAGCCGGCGAGGGCGGGAGGGUGGCGAAGGGCUUAGGAUCGGAUAGCAGCAGGGACCGGGAUGAUAAUGACGGUACCGGGAGAAGAAGCACCGGCUAACUCCGUG
rnacentral:rRNA from 1 species